rnacentral:rRNA from 1 species
UACGUAGGUGGCAAGCGUUGUCCGGAAUUAUUGGGCGUAAAGCGCGCGCAGGCGGCUUCUUAAGUCUGAUGUGAAAGCCCACGGCUCAACCGUGGAGGGUCAUUGGAAACUGGGAGGCUUGAGUGCAGAAGAGAAGAGCGGAAUUCCACGUGUAGCGGUGAAAUGCGUAGAGAUGUGGAGGAACACCAGUGGCGAAGGCGGCUCUUUGGUCUGUAACUGACGCUGAGGCGCGAAAGCGUGGGGAGAGAACAGG